CUACGGGUUGCUGCAGUGGGGAAUAUUGCGCAAUGGGGGAAACCCUGACGCAGUGACGCCGUGUGAGUGAUGAAGGUUUUCGGAUCGUAAAGCUCUGUCAGACGGGAAGAAUAAGAACAGUAAAAAUAUUGCUGUUUGAUGACGGUACCGUCAGAGGAAGCACCGGCUAACUCCGUGCCAGCAGCCGCGGUAAUACGGAGGGUGCAAACGUGGUUCGGAAUUACUGGGCGUAAAGCGCAUGUAGGCGGAUAUGUAGGUCAGAUGUGAAAUCCCUUGGCUCAACCAAGGAAGUGCAUCUGAAACCCAAUAUCUUGAGUACGAGAGAGGGAAGUGGAAUUCCCAGUGUAGAGGUGAAAUUCAUAGAUAUUGGGAAGAACACCGGUGGCGAAGGCGGCUUUCUGGCUCGUAACUGACGCUGAGAUGCGAAAGCGUGGGGAGCAAACAGGAUUAGAUACCCCCGUAGUC
rnacentral:rRNA from 1 species